AAGGUUAACCGAAUAGGGGAGCCGGAGGGAAACCGAGUCUUAAUUGGGCGUUAAGUUGCAGGGUAUAGACCCGAAACCCGGUGAUCUAGCCAUGGGCAGGUUGAAGGUUGGGUAACACUAACUGGAGGACCGAACCGACUAAUGUUGAAAAAUUAGCGGAUGACCUGUGGCUGGGGGUGAAAGGCCAAUCAAACCGGGAGAUAGCUGGUUCUCCCCGAAAGCUAUUUAGGUAGCGCCUCGUGAAUUCAUCUCCGGGGGUAGAGCACUGUUUCGGCUAGGGGGCCAUCCCGGCUUACCAACCCGAUGCAAACUGCGAAUACCGGAGAAUGUUAUCACGGGAGACACACGGCGGGUGCUAACGUCCGUCGUGAAGAGGGAAACAACCCAGACCGCCAGCUAAGGUCCCAAAGUCAUGGUUAAGUGGGAAACGAUGUGGGAAGGCCCAGACAGCCAGGAUGUUGGCUUAGAAGCAGCCAUCAUUUAAAGAAAGCGUAAUAGCUCACUGGUCGAGUCGGCCUGCGCGGAAGAUGUAACGGGGCUAAACCAUGCACCGAAGCUGCGGCAGCGACACUCAGGUGUUGUUGGGUAGGGGAGCGUUCUGUAAGCCUGUGAAGGUGGCCUGUGAGGG
rnacentral:rRNA from 1 species